UGGAUGGGUUUGAGUCUAGCCCUAGACUCGAUGAAUCACUCGAGGUAAUCGAGUCGGGAAACCAAUCAACUCCUGAACCUCGGAUGAUUAAUAGUUCUCCCUUUUUUUCAUGUAGUUCAAUUCUUCUUUUGAAAGAAAGAAGGGUCGUAAAUAGUAAUGUAAGGAUAGGCUAUAAGGUUUCAGGAUAUGAUAACGGAUUUUAGCUAGUUUAUCAUUUAUUAGUGUUUGUUGCUCGUGACCUUCCAUCACUAUAGUUUGCUUUAUUUUUUAGCUGUAUAUCUGACUAAUGAGUGAAUUUAAAUAAGUUGGUGGGUGGUUGUGAGUUCAGAUAUUAUAAAUAUGUUGGUUAUAUAUUUACUUUUUUAAACUCGAUUAUAAAUGGGUGUGAUAUGGUUUGAGAAGUAUUUUUCGGUCUGUUAUAAAUCCAACUUGAUUCGACCCAAUCACCACCCCUAAGUAGAUAUAUUUAUUGGAGGGGGUAAAGACAUACAUAUUGAAUAGGAAAGUGAUGAAGGUGAAGUUUGAGAUGGCAAUCGAGAAGUUGGAGUUGGUCAGGAUCCUGCUGAGGGGCCCCCUUAGUGUUCAAGA
rnacentral:lncRNA from 1 species